rnacentral:rRNA from 1 species
UACGGAGGAUCCGAGCGUUAUCCGGAUUUAUUGGGUUUAAAGGGUGCGCAGGCGGAAUUAUAAGUCAGUGGUGAAAUCCUACAGCUUAACUGUAGAACUGCCAUUGAUACUGUUAUUCUUGAGUAUAGUUGAAGUGGGCGGAAUGUGUCAUGUAGCGGUGAAAUGCUUAGAUAUGACACAGAACACCAAUUGCGAAGGCAGCUCGCUAAGCUAUAACUGACGCUCAUGCACGAAAGCGUGGGGAU